AACGAACGCUGGCGGCGUGGAUUAGGCAUGCAAGUCGUACGCGAAAGAGGGGGCAACCCCUUGAGUAGAGUGGCGAACGGGUGAGUAACGCGUGAGGAACCUGCCUUCGACAGGGGGAUAACACUCCCAACGGGGUGCUAAUACCGCAUGAGACCACGGGGCUGCAUGGCCCUGAGGUCAAAGAUGGCCUCUAUUUAUAAGCUAUCGGUCGAAGAUGGCCUCGCGUCCCAUUAGCUAGUUGGUGAGGUAACGGCUCACCAAGGCGACGAUGUCUAGGGGGUCUGAGAGGAUGAUCCCCCACACUGGAACUGAGACACGGUCCAGACUCCUACGGGAGGCAGCAGUAAGGAAUAUUGCUCAAUGGCCGAAAGGCUGAAGCAGCAACGCCGCGUGGAGGAUGAAAUACUUUUGAUGUAAACUCCUGUAAGAAGGGAAAAAUAUUCCGAUUUAUCGGGAUUGAUUGUACCUUCAGAGUAAGCCCCGGCUAACUACGUGCCAGC
rnacentral:rRNA from 1 species